rnacentral:lncRNA from 1 species
CCCAGGCCAGGGCCUGCUCCCUGCAGGUCAGAAGGUGUCACUGGGAGAGAAGGUGGCAGUUCAGCACCGCGGUCCAAGGGACCUCGCAAAGAUGCCAGGGCCAACCCAUGACCUUUGUUCCAGGUGCUGGUUAGCUGCUGACAGGUCCCCCCGACAGACAGAGGCUUCUCAUGGCCAUUUAUUACCCUUGGGGACUCCCGGGGCCCAGGGUUCGAAUCAGGCACACGGAACUCCUCACUGGAGGUGGCCCAAGGGCUGGGAUCUGGAAUUUUUUGCAGGUGCCUGGCUCACGGGGUGCCAGCUGUGGGCUAUGACCCCUCCACGCAGCUGCCCCUCCUCUACUGGGCCCUGGAGCCAGCGCCCAAGGAGCCAGGCAGAGGCUCGGGCAUCAUAGCCCAGCCCCUGAACUCACCCGGUGCCCCCCACACCUUCUACCCACACAGGCCAGACCCGGGGGCAGGGGAAUCGGAGCCGCAGUGGGCGAGCGCCACAAGGCUCCAAAAAACACCCUCCUUUCGUUUGGCAGCAGGUGGCAAAGUGCGUCUGUGGCCGGAAAGUAUGUGGCCGCUCCCACCCCCACCCCUGACGAGGGACCUUCCAGAUCCGCAGUCUCCCUUCUCUGGGCACUUUGCUGCCCGCUUUCCUUUUGCCUGUGCGGACCCCGCUCGCCACUGGCUCCAGCUGCCCGGAGCCGAGCUGGACAGAGGGACGCGUCUCCAGGCACCCUGAGUGCUGGCAGGAGGCCCUCGGGCCUCUCCCACGGGCCGCCCCAGGCUGGGGACCCACACCAUUCCUCGGCCCUCUGCCACCAGCCCCAGGGAACUGCCUAUGCCCGGCAGCUUGUCCCCAGUGCUGCCCAUGCCCUUGUCCCUCUCUUAGAUGCUCCUCGAAUGCCCCAAACCAAGCAUGCUCUCUGCCUCCUGCUCACAGGGACCUCAUCCCACAGAAGCCCCGGGGAGCGCGCUCCUGCUCCGAGAGGGUGGCCCCUGGUCCUGCGGGCCCCACGGGGCCCAGGCCAAGGGCCGGGCCUCCGCUCGCUGGCUUGGCCCACAAGCCUCCCACAGAGACAUCCUGCUUUGAGCAGGUCCCUGCCCAGUGGUGGGGACAGGGCUGAGGGCUUUAACUCCAGAAAGGCCAGGCCCCUGGUGGAAGGGGGGGGACCCGGCGCCAGCUCAAACAGCUGAGUACACAGCCACCGUCACGUGUCCAGGCCCCCUGCAGCCUGGCCGCCCCCGCAGGCUGGAAGCCACUCAAAG